GCGGCGGACGAUGCCGUCGUUGCCGGGGAGAAUUUCGCUGCGCCGAAAACCUCCGCAGCCUCGCUGCUAGUCUUGCUACCAGCCACGUCCGCCGAGGCAGCUUCUGAAAAUUCAAAAUGACGAUUGGGUCUGCAGAAAGUUAAUAGAACACGACUAGACAUUCAAAAUAGCACUCAUGGAUCGGAUAUAUCCAAGGGGUGGAACUAAAAUACCCAGACGAUGGUAUGCAUCUAGUAAAUGAGAUAUGCAGCCUACGCAAACGGAAGUGAAAAAAAACAGGCCAGGUUAUAUAAGCAUGGAAACAGAUCAAUAAUUCCUUGCUUGCCCGAUGUGGUCGUAAACAUCCACGGACCUCUGCAGAAGAUUGUGAGAAGCUAUGACAUCUUGAGAUUGACAUCCCCACCCUACAUUUUCCUAUCCUAUCUUCUUUAUUCUCAGCCUUACCAUCAUUGCUCGAAGCAAGAAAAUAAAUCCUCCUUGUUCGAUAAAUUCCCUCCAAACACUCGCCUUCUAAAUAUUUUUAUGGCGUUUCUAAUAAAUUUUAAAUGGUUAAUAAAUAAAUUCACGGGGCAAUUGAA